UAUACGGUGAAACUGCGAAUGGCUCAUUAAAUCAGUUAUCGUUUAUUUGAUAGUACCUUACUACAUGGAUAACCGUGGUAAUUCUAGAGCUAAUACAUGCUAAAAACCUCGACUUCGGAAGGGGUGUAUUUAUUAGAUAAAAAACCAAUGCCCUUCGGGGCUCCUUGGUGAUUCAUAAUAACUCAACGAAUCGCAUGGCCUUGCGCCGGCGAUGGUUCAUUCAAAUUUCUGCCCUAUCAACUUUCGAUGGUAGGAUAGUGGCCUACCAUGGUUUUAACGGGUAACGGGGAAUUAGGGUUCUAUUCCGGAGAGGGAGCCUGAGAAACGGCUACCACAUCCAAGGAAGGCAGCAGGCGCGCAAAUUACCCAAUCCCAACACGGGGAGGUAGUGACAAUAAAUACUGAUGUGGAGCUCUUUAGGGUUUCACAAUUGGAAUGAGUACAAUUUAAAUCCCUUAACGAGGAACAAUUGGAGGGCAAGUCUGGUGCCAGCAGCCGCGGUAAUUCCAGCUCCAAUAGCGUAUAUUAAAGUUGUUGCAGUUAAAAAGCUCGUAGUUGAACCUUGGGCCUGGCUGACCGGUCCGCCUCACCGCGAGCACUGGUUCGGCCGGGCCUUUCCUUCUGGGGAGCCGCAUGCCCUUCACUGGGUGUGUCGGGGAACCAGGACUUUUACUUUGAAAAAAUUAGAGUGUUCAAAGCAGGCCUAUGCUCGAAUACAUUAGCAUGGAAUAAUAGAAUAGGACGUGCGGUUCUAUUUUGUUGGUUUCUAGGACCGCCGUAAUGAUUAAUAGGGAUAGUCGGGGGCAUCAGUAUUCAAUUGUCAGAGGUGAAAUUCUUGGAUUUAUUGAAGACUAACUACUGCGAAAGCAUUUGCCAAGGAUGUUUUCAUUAAUCAGUGAACGAAAGUUAGGGGAUCGAAGACAAUCAGAUACCGUCGUAGUCUUAACCUUAAACUAUGCCGACUAGGGAUCGGACGGUGUUAUCAUUUU
rnacentral:rRNA from 1 species